rnacentral:tRNA from 1 species
AGACGGGAGAAGAUAGGCUGAAGUCCGCUGGCUGGGGCGUUUAGUUGUUAAUUAAAAUUUUACGGGAUCGAAGCCCGUCAGUCUGU